GAUGAACGCUGGCGGCGUGCUUAACACAUGCAAGUCGAACGGAAAGGCUCCUGCUUGCAGGGGUACUCGAGUGGCGAACGGGUGAGUAACACGUGGGUGAUCUGCCCAGCACUUCGGGAUAAGCCUGGGAAACUGGGUCUAAUACCGGAUAGGACGAUGGUUUGGAUGCCAUUGUGGAAAGUUUUUUCGGUGUGGGAUGAGCUCGCGGCCUAUCAGCUUGUUGGUGGGGUAAUGGCCUACCAAGGCGUCGACGGGUAGCCGGCCUGAGAGGGUGUACGGCCACAUUGGGACUGAGAUACGGCCCAGACUCCUACGGGAGGCGGCAGUGGGGAAUAUUGCACAAUGGGCGCAAGCCUGAUGCAGCGACGCCGCGUGGGGGAUGACGGCCUUCGGGUUGUAAACUCCUUUCGCUAGGGACGAAGCGCAAGUGACGGUACCUGGAGAAGAAGCACCGGCUAACUACGUG
rnacentral:rRNA from 1 species